AAAUGUCUGCCACCGGGUAGAAAAUGCUUAAAGCAUUCGUUUGCACAUCGUUAGGUCUUUGAAGAUGUGUUUGCGAAUGCUUUUUUGAU
rnacentral:ncRNA from 1 species